AGUUUGGUCCCCUGUGGGUGAGAUUCAAGGAUAUAGCAGAGCUCCAGGGAACCCCAUUCCUCUCUUUUUUUUUUUCUUGUACCCCCCACCCUCCCGUAUGCACACACACACACACACACACGCACAUUGAGUAGCAAAUCCUGCAGCAAGUGCUAACACUGCAGCUACUUUGCCAGUUCUUCCGAAAGGACAUAAAAUUAAACAGAUCCAGGUUUAAAGACAACUCUGCCACCCACUGUCUGAAUGGCUGGGGAAAUGCAUGACUAACGCUGUCUGUUUCCUCCUGUGUGACUUAGAGAACAAAAGCUCCGCAGAACCUCUGGCCCAUUAGGAAGAUUAUAAGGAAUGGAGUUGGGGUGAGCUUUAACCCCUGCAGUAGCAGAGCACCAGUAUGUUAUUCUUACUUUGACCUGCAGGUGGCAAUAGUGGUCCCUGUAUCGUCUGGUUUGAAUGAUGGGAUUUGAAGCACAGCUUCUGGGAAAUGGGAAAUGAAGAAACUUAACCAUGCCAACUUUGACACAGUGCCAAGGUGGAGGAUACUAAAAUAUAAAUAUCCCCAAUGUUGCCAUCUGCUGUACAAAAUGCAGGGAGUCAGAAAGGGAUUCCUGGAGCCCACCUACUGUGGAUUUACUGCCCUGACAUACAGCUUUUUAAAAAAAGUGUCUUACAAGGCAAGGAAGACCACACAAGGCCUUUGCCCUCUUGUGAGUUUGUCCUUCAAAGCAGAGAAAUGUAAAGAAGGUUCAUAGGUGGUUAGGUUGAUAGAGACCUGUUCGGAUCCUGCUGGAAUGCUAUCCGUAAACAUUGCUAUAUUGCCGGUUCUGGUCACACCCCUACUCUUUUUUCACCCUCACCUCACAUCAGCAAGUCCUGGACUGCCCAGUGUAUUUUCUACAUAUCCACACAUUGUGAGCUAAAUGCAAAGCAGUCCAGUUUAUUCCGCUAAGCCAUGGAGAAAGUCAUGGAGAAAGUGGCUUCCUUCCCAGCCUCCAAACCUGGAAGCUCAAAAAUCACUUUUGUCUUCAGCCUGUGAAGACUUCUUAGGCCCACAACCAAAAGAACAUCAUGCCCAAGGGUGCGUGGAGAGACACCUUGCAAAUACCUGACUUGAACAGGGUGAAGCCAAACUCACUCUAAAGCAGAGAGAGGGACCCGCUAAGUAGUGUGGGAGGUGUUAGUAGAUAAAAAUCAUGUCCUUGGUAUAGCUGAGCUGCUCCAGGCUGGGGUGAGCUGCCGCCUGGAUCAGAGGUGGUGGGCCACACACCAGGAUGAGCGUGUCCUCCCCAGGAGGAGGGAGGUGCUCCUUGAUCAUGUCAGCGCUAACAAAGCCUGAGCUGUACUUCCAGUCUGAAAUGAAGCAGAAAGGGGAAGAAGCAUGGUUCUGCAUUUGCCCCUGAUGCUGGAGACCAGGCUACCCUAUAAACGCUUGGAAGUCUGCACUGCUGAUUGUCAUAGUUGACUCAAGAAGCAGACAUGUGGCUUCCCUGCCGUCCAUAGCAUUUUUGCCAAAUUCUAGGCUCUCGGAGACUCGGGAUGCUGUCUCUCUGCUCUAAGCAUUGAGUAGAAAGUGGGGCUGUUAGGGGGAGGUGAGGAGGUCACACUGGUGGACAGCUUAUAGGUAUAGGCAGUAUAGAUCAGGGAAGCAGGAGAUGUGUAAUGCAUGAUGCAAGGUGCACGGAAGUUCCUGGGAUGCUAGGUGAGGCUGCAGGAGCUGACUGAAGCUCAGCAUUUGAAGUCUGCUGUCCAGAAGAGGUUGGAGGUAAGAAGUAGCCAUGAGCAGGUACACGAGGUUAAGGGGCCAGGGGUCAUAUUAGGUGCAAUGUGCUGACUGCAGAGUACGUGCUCAAUUAGCCUGGUGGCUCAGAGUCUAUACUCAGUGCAGUGUGUGGCGUGUGGAAGAGGUAUUUAACACCUGCCCUUGACUCCCAUUAAAAACUGCUGCUCCC
rnacentral:lncRNA from 1 species